rnacentral:ncRNA from 1 species
ACAAGCUGCCCUGAAAAGAAAAUAACAAUGAUUCCCCUAGUAGGGGUGAGUGAAGCGGGGAGAGCUCAAAGUGAAAAUUGUGACUCCCCUCUCACGAAUUGUAGCCUCUACAGGCGUGGCCAGUGGGCGGGCAGGUCAACGUUUCUUGGAACAGAACUUCAGAGAGGGUGAGAGUCCCGUCCUUCGUCGCGCUUUUGCAUUUUCCCACGUGCGGUGCGCUUUUAUUGUGUCGCCUUCAUUGGGAUUUAAGCGCAAAAGAGGGGAUAAGUUUCACGUAAAGCUGAAUACUGGCGUGAGACCAAUAGCAAAGAAGGAGUGUGAGGGAGCCAUGAAAAGAACUUUGGAAAGAGUUAAAAUUACCUGAAAUUGCUGAAAGGGAAGCGAUUCAAACUUUUGCGUUUGUGGGAUCAUGAUAGAUUUUAGUGCUUAUGAAAUCUUUAUGCGGCUUCGUUGUCCGUAACCACCGACGCAUAGUUGAAAUUGCAAUACUCGGUUUGCAGGGCCUUUGAGAACGAACAAACGGCAUAUUGGUGGCGGCAUACUCCGGGAGAUAGGACAGUGUGUUUGUACCCUGGGUUUUCCUAGGCAGCAGGAUCCUGUUAAGCAAGUCAUUCGCUGGUGUCGGCAGCACAACUGCGAGCAUGGGUUUACCUGAGAUACAG